AACCAGGUGCUCCGCAGGGCGCAGCUUUAUACGACCGCAGAGGUCGAACCCUGAACAGUUGGGGCAAGUAUGGACAAAACAUUCAAGCGUGAUACAGCUCUGAAUUUGGAUUGUGAUCGAAUUUUUGACAUUACAUGUUUUUUUUUACACAAAACAAAUGUCAAGAUUUUACAAAUCAAUUAAAGAUUUCUUCUUCAAACUUUUUAAAUCUAAAAUUAAAUAGUUGACACAGCAUAGGUUUCUGACACAGAAUGAAUGUGGUCUAAUGAACUUAAAAGUUUUUUUUUGCCUUUGAGCAAUUCACUAUGCUGUUGAAUAUUAAUCCUCUGAAAAAAAUGUUUGAAGAAAUUUUCUUUUUAUUUAUGAAAUUUGAAAUGAGAAAAAUUUAAACCCCCCCUUUUUUUUCACAUCCCCACUUCCCUUUUUCCAAAACUGAUAUCAAUUCAAAUUUCUAAUGGAGUUUGCAACAAUAACUACAUAAUAAAUACAUCAUAAAAUAUUAAAAUGUAAAAUAAAGUGCUUGUUAUCACUGAAUGGUAAAGAUUGGUUGGUAGUAAAAGUGAAUAUACAUUGUUUAUUGUAUAAAACAAUAAAAAAAACUUC
rnacentral:lncRNA from 1 species